rnacentral:rRNA from 1 species
UACGGAGGGUGCGAGCGUUGUCCGGAAUCACUGGGCGUAAAGGGCGCGUAGGCGGCCUGAUAAGUAGGGGGUGAAAUCCUGCGGCUUAACCGCAGGGCUGCCUUCUAAACUGUCAGGCUAGAGCACGGUAGAGGCAGAUGGAAUUCCCGGUGUAGCGGUGGAAUGCGUAGAGAUCGGCAGGAACACCCAGGGGGAAACCAGUGGACUGGCACGGUGCUGACGCUCAGGUGCGAAAGCGUGGGGAGCGAACCGG